UAAACGACUCUCGGCAACGGAUAUCUCGGCUCACGCAUCGAUGAAGAACGUAGCAAAAUGCGAUACUUGGUGUGAAUUGCAGAAUCCCGUGAACCAUCGAGUUUUUGAACGCAAGUUGCGCCCGAAGCCACCCGGCCGAGGGGCACGCCUGCCUGGGCGUCACGC
rnacentral:rRNA from 1 species